GGCUGCUCCUGUGAGUGGUGGGCAGCACAUUUUUUGGCAACACAAGGUACUGCUUUUUGCUGGCUUGUUCAAAUUCUCACCCGAUGGCCUGACAACACAAGUUGUAUGCCCACUGACUUUGGCUGCCAAACCACCAAGACCUCCACAAUUUUGGUCCUAUUUUCAACACAACAGUUGUAUCUGAUGUCAAAGCUUGGCAUGAUGCAUAUGAAGUGCAGCUGAGCAGUGAUCUGAUGCAGGGCUGGAAGGCCAGCUCAUGGGCAGGCAGAUGCACUGGGACACCUAAAAGCUAGCUUUGGCUUUGUAAGCAGUACAGGAAUGUGAGUGGAGCUGUGUGAAGUCUGAAGAGUUGGAAGUUGAUCUAAAAUGUAAAAAAGGGGCAAAAGAGCCUUGUCAGUUUCUGGGCAAACAUAAUAAGCUUGUAACAGUUAGUGCAAGCCAUUCCUUCGGAGAGAAUUUGGAGCUGCAUCAAGUAUUCUGAGCUAUGUUCCACUUUAGCUUUACAUUUGAAGUCAAGAACAAUGUUGGUAUAUUCUGAGCAAACAUUUCACAGUAUUUUCAGAGAUCCCUUACUGGGCUUACGUUGCACAAAAAGGAUUGGGAGAGGGGCCAUGGCGAAGAGCUCUGUCCCUGAUCCCUUUUGUGAUACUGCCUCAAGUCACACUGGGGACUGUUGAGUUACCUGGCUACCCUCACCCUACCUACUCUGACCACUCGUAAACUAUGGACUCAAGGUGAGGGGAAAAUAGUGAACAAGGUUAGAUCUUUAUGGGCAGAGCCGGGCAAAUUCUCCAGCAAUGCUUCACAGUUAGUCUUUUAAGCACGAAAGGUUUAAUCUGUCCUGUGAUAUUUCUAGCCUUUAUUUUUGCCAUGUUUGGGGGCCACAGGGUUUCCAACAAGCUCACCUUGAGCAAAUGGUGCCUAUGAGGGUCCUGGCAAAAGUGAAAAGUGCUGCAGGCUGUGGAAUUGUGCUGCCUCGUGGUGCUGGGUGAAGUGUGUCUGAGUGUCCACCUGAAACAUGCUCUUUGUCACAAAGUGGGAGAAGCAGCUGAUCGUGAGGAGUAAGCGAGAGGUGCAACAGGGAGCGGCUCACCACCCUCAGGGUCACAGAGUGAGCGUUCCACGCUGGUGAUGCAGGCAAAUAGAGGAGGCACAAACGCUGGAUGAAUUUGAAAAUACAGCAGUUGUGGGUUUCCAGAAGCAAAACCUGAUGCAGUGUGCUUUUCAGAAGCUCUCUGGAAUUAUUUUUCUUUGUUAUUUAAAAAAAAAAAAUUCUUACACUAUAAA